rnacentral:lncRNA from 1 species
CUCAGGUGUGGGGAGAAGGAAGAGUAACACUGAAAACCCGCCAAGCCUGUCCGUGCCGUCCGGUGUCUUCCCUUUCAGCCUUCUACCCGCUUCUUCCUUUCUUCUCCUGUUGUCCUCCCUCGCUUUUCCCUCUUUUUUUCGGUUUCCGAGCCUUCGGCGGCAUCAGCCUGGUAUAUUGUAAAGUUCCACAGUAACAGUGGAGUUAGGAGGCACUAUAGUCCUAAGUCCUCAUUUUGAAAAGGGGGAAACCGGGUUCCGAGCCUGUGCCUAGAUUGUUUGCGCUCUCAUUUUUUGCUCCACUCUUCUGCCUCUAAACGUUUCCUCUUUUCUGGGGACCCGGCUGCGGUUGCUGGACCACAUGUGUUGCCCAACCACACCAAGAUCAGGACGCCCAGCGGGGAGUGUUCGGUCUGGGCUUUUCCUCCUGUUCUGUAACCUUGCAUCUUUAAGUUCCAUUGGUUAUGGCUAUAGGGGCCACGCUGUCCAAGUCCCAUUGCUUACUUGUGUAUCAAUGAGUCACCCAUUUCUGACUCUAAGUCCGAGACAUUCUUACAUUUUCCUAGACAAAAUAAGAGCUUGGAUGCUGUGAUGCUGAGGCCAGGAUUACUUAGCUGAAGCUACUGGCCACAGGCCUGGGGGCCUAAGGGGUUAUGAGGGUUGGCUUAUCUUCCUGCGGAAGGCAGCCUCAACGGUGAGCUCAGUGGCCACCCAAAACUGUUAGCACCAUCCUGAGCCUGUCUUCUAGGGACCAUCCCUGGCAGGGGCACCCAUCUUCAGGCAGGUUUUAUUUUUGAACACACUUCAAAAACGACUUCAAAGGGGACUGGCUGCCUGCAGUUCUGGGAUUUAAAAAUAUAGCUGGAGUCACUGGGCAGGUCCCAGUAAGUAUUGCAGUAAAUAUCAGGUUCUUGCUGUGGUUAGGUCUAAUUCUUCUGGAGCAAAGUGAGACUAUAAAUGCAUCCAUGAAAGGUGAGCAGUUGGUGCUUCUGCUUUAGCCACUGCCUGCUAGAUUACCUCUACCUGUCCCCAAUUAGUGCUUAUAGCAGUGCUUGCAUUCAUCCCUGUUCAACCUACCCCAAGUUUUUAUGCCACGGGACUCUAGUGGGCCAUAAGCUCCCUUUAAAGGGACUUUUUAGAAGUAGCCAAUUUGAUGCCUGGUGUUUAGAAAUAGAGGGCCACUCAUGCUACAGAUGUCUGAGUGUCAAGUACCUGUAAAGCAUAUAAUGCAGGGAAUAGCUCCUCUGGUGACAUUUCUUAGAUUGCAUACUCAGGUGUUAAAGCAUGGGUUAUGACUCAGUCAGCAAAGCAGAGUAUGGUAAUAAAUCUAAGGUCUCAUGGGGAGUGACAGAGCUAGAACUUGAAGCCGAGUCUUUUUAACUCCUCAGAGCUUUCCACUGUACUGGGGGCUGGUCCUCACUUGCUUUGGUCCUCACAGCAGAAUAGUUGUGCCCAAUUUUAUAAAGAAAAUAGGCACAAAAGGUUAGCUAUAGAACCAUAAUUAGAGUCCAGUCCUGCCUGCUCCCAGUUCAUACAUCCAUUGAAAGUUCCCAUGAGCCAGGAGCAGUGGUGCAUGCUUGUAAUCCCAGUGAUUUAAGAGGCUGAGGAAGGAUUGCAAGUUUGAGGCUAGUCUCAGCAAUUUAGCAAGGUCCUAAGCAACUCAGCAAGACCCUGUCUCACGCUAAAAAAUAAAAAGGGCUUGGGAUGUGGCUCAGUCGUAAAAAGCCCCUUGGGUUCAAUCCCCCAUACUAUUACUACUACUGUUAAUAAUAAUAAUAAAUAAAAAAUGUUACCAUGAAAGCAGUGUCAGUAAUACCUUAGGCCAGCUUUUAACCUUUUAGCCCUUCC